GACGAACGCUGGCGGCGUGCUUAACACAUGCAAGUCGAACGCUGAAGCUCAGCUUGCUGGGUGGAUGAGUGGCGAACGGGUGAGUAACACGUGAGUAACCUGCCCCCUUCUUUGGGAUAACGCCCGGAAACGGGUGCUAAUACUGGAUAUUCACUGAUCUUCGCAUGGGGGUUGGUGGAAAGGUUUUUUCUGGUGGGGAUGGGCUCGCGGCCUAUCAGCUUGUUGGUGGGGUGAUGGCCUACCAAGGCUUUGACGGGUAGCCGGCCUGAGAGGGUGACCGGUCACAUUGGGACUGAGAUACGGCCCAGACUCCUACGGGAGGCAGCAGUGGGGAAUAUUGCACAAUGGGCGAAAGCCUGAUGCAGCGACGCCGCGUGAGGGAUGGAGGCCUUCGGGUUGUAAACCUCUUUCGCUCAUGGUCAAGCCGCAACAUUGGUUGUGGUGAGGGUAGUGGGUAAAGAAGCGCCGGCUAACUACGUG
rnacentral:rRNA from 1 species